rnacentral:rRNA from 1 species
GAUGAACGCUGGCGGCGUGCCUAAUACAUGCAAGUCGAGCGAACAGACGAGGAGCUUGCUCCUCUGACGUUAGCGGCGGACGGGUGAGUAACACGUGGAUAACCUACCUAUAAGACUGGGAUAACUUCGGGAAACCGGAGCUAAUACCGGAUAAUAAAUUGAACCGCAUGGUUCAAUAGUGAAAGACGGUUUUGCUGCCACUUAUAGAUGGAUCCGCGCCGCAUUAGCUAGUUGGUAAGGUAACGGCUUACCAAGGCAACGAUGCGUAGCCGACCUGAGAGGGUGAUCGGCCACACUGGAACUGAGACACGGUCCAGACUCCUACGGGAGGCAGCAGUAGGGAAUCUUCCGCAAUGGGCGAAAGCCUGACGGAGCAACGCCGCGUGAGUGAUGAAGGUCUUCGGAUCGUAAAACUCUGUUAUUAGGGAAGAACAAAUGUGUAAGUAACUAUGCACGUCUUGACGGUACCUAAUCAGAAAGCCACGGCUAACUACGUG